GACGGUACUUGAGGAAUAAGCACGGCUAAUUCCGUGCCAGCAGCCGCGGUAAUACGGGAGUGGCAAGCGUAUCCGAAUUAUUGGGCGUAAAGCGUCCGCAGGCGGCUUUUCAAGUCUGCUGUUAAAGCGUGGAGCUUAACUCCAUCAUGGCAGUGGAAACUGAAAGGCUUGAGUAUGGUAGGGGCAGAGGGAAUUCCCGGUGUAGCGGUGAAAUGCGUAGAUAUCGGGAAGAACACCAGUGGCGAAGGCGCUCUGCUGGGCCAUUACUGACGCUCAUGGACGAAAGCCAGGGGAGCGAAAGGGAUUAGAUACCCCUGUAGUCCUGGCCGUAAACGAUGAACACUAGGUGUCGGGGGAAUCGACCCCUUCGGUGUCGUAGCUAACGCGUUAAGUGUUCCGCCUGGGGAGUACGCACGCAAGUGUGAAACUCAAAGGAAUUGACGGGGGCCCGCACAAGCGGUGGAGUAUGUGGUUUAAUUCGAUGCAACGCGAAGAACCUUACCAGGGUUUGACAUCCUGCGAACCUCUUAGAAAUUUGAGGGUGCCUUCGGGAAUGCAGUGACAGGUGGUGCAUGGCUGUCGUCAGCUCGUGUCGUGAGAUGUUGGGUUAAGUCCCGCAACGAGCGCAACCCACGUUUUUAGUUGCCAGCAUUUAGUUGGGCACUCUAGAAAGACCGCCGGUGAUAAACCGGAGGAAGGUGUGGAUGACGUCAAGUCAUCAUGCCCCUUACACCCUGGGCUACACACGUACUACAAUGCUACGGACAAAGGGCAGCAAACUCGCGAGAGCUAGCAAAUCCCAUAAACCGUGGCUCAGUUCAGAUCGUAGGCUGCAACUCGCCUACGUGAAGUAGGAAUCGCUAGUAAUCGCAGGUCAGCAUACUGCGGUGAAUACGUUCCCGGGCCUUGUACACACCGCCUGUCACACCAUGGAAGUUGGCCAUGCCCGAAGUCGUUACUCCAACCCU
rnacentral:rRNA from 1 species